GGUGAACAAUUUUUCCAUUUCAACUUUUUUUUCUUCCAUUUCUCUCUUCGGUUUCUCCAUCAUCCCAUUUUGUGGUUUCAUCUCUCUCUUCUACUAUCUUCAUCUUUCUCUUCCAACAUUCUUUACUUCUUAUUUUCUACUUCUUAUCUUCCUAUACCUCCAUUAUUUAUUUACUUCUUAUCUUCCUAUAAUAUGCUAGAUUUUAUAUCUCCCUUUGUGGUGAAGAACUUAAGGAGGGUAUCGGUUUGGAGGCUAUUUCUGGAUUGUUUGAAGCAUAUCCUAUAUUGGAAGAAAUUUGUAAGGAAAAAUGUUCCCACCAAUGAACAAAUUUCCUUCUCUCAUUGA